CAGAAGAUAGUUUAAGUAGAAUUCGAGCUUUGGGAGUUCGAGGUAGAGGUUAGAUUCCUCUUUUUCUGA
rnacentral:tRNA from 2 species